CCGUAGGUAACCUGCCUGGUAGCGGGGGGAGAACAUUGGAAACGAUAGCUAAUACCGCAUAACAGUCGACAUUGCAUGAUGUUGAUUUGAAAGGGGCAAUUGCUCCACUACCAGAUGGACCUGCGUUGUAUUAGCUAGUUGGUGAGGUAACGGCUCACCAAGGCGACGAUACAUAGCCGACCUGAGAGGGUGAUCGGCCACACUGGGACUGAGACACGGCCCAG
rnacentral:rRNA from 1 species